AUUUGGGUAGCUUAAGUUAUAAAGUUUAAUAUUGAAGAUAUUAAGAUAAGUGAUUACUUUCCAGAUA
rnacentral:tRNA from 1 species